GACGAACGCUGGCGGCGUGCUUAACACAUGCAAGUCGAACGGAAAGGCCCUGCUUUUGUGGGGUGCUCGAGUGGCGAACGGGUGAGUAACACGUGAGUAACCUGCCCUUGACUUUGGGAUAACUUCAGGAAACUGGGGCUAAUACCGGAUAGGAGCUCCUGCUGCAUGGGGGGGGUUGGAAAGUUUCGGCGGUUGGGGAUGGACUCGCGGCUUAUGAGCUUGUUGGUGGGGUAGGGGCUUACCAAGGCUUUGACGGGUAGCCGGCCUGAGAGGGUGACCGGCCACAUUGGGACUGAGAUACGGCCCAGACUCCUACGGGAGGCAGCAGUGGGGAAUAUUGCACAAUGGGCGGAAGCCUGAGGCAGCAACGCCGCGUGCGGGAUGACGGCCUUCGGGUUGUAAACCGCUUUCGCCUGUGACGAAGCGUGAGUGACGGUAAUGGGUAAAGAAGCACCGGCUAACUACGUG
rnacentral:rRNA from 1 species